rnacentral:rRNA from 1 species
AAAUUGAAGAGUUUGAUCAUGGCUCAGAUUGAACGCUGGCGGCAGGCCUAACACAUGCAAGUCGAACGGUAACAGGAAGAAGCUUGCUUCUUUGCUGACGAGUGGCGGACGGGUGAGUAAUGUCUGGGAAACUGCCUGAUGGAGGGGGAUAACUACUGGAAACGGUAGCUAAUACCGCAUAACGUCGCAAGACCAAAGAGGGGGACCUUCGGGCCUCUUGCCAUCGGAUGUGCCCAGAUGGGAUUAGCUAGUAGGUGGGGUAACGGCUCACCUAGGCGACGAUCCCUAGCUGGUCUGAGAGGAUGACCAGCCACACUGGAACUGAGACACGGUCCA